GGAACACGUGACCUAUUAGCAACGUUCAACAUGUUGAGAAGGUUAAGUUCCAGGCUUCCAGGCAACAUUUUGAAAAGAUUCUCCUUGUUCUCAGAGCUGCAAACAUCCAGGAGGAAAUCCCUGCUCAGUAUGCAGUAUUUUAUGAUAUGCGUAUCUUUGUUCUUCAUAACUUCAAAACUUUAAAUAAACGUUACUGGUUUAUUGUAUGU
rnacentral:lncRNA from 1 species